rnacentral:rRNA from 1 species
CCUACGGGCGGCAGCAGUGAGGAAUAUUGGUCAAUGGACGAGAGUCUGAACCAGCCAAGUAGCGUGAAGGAUGACUGCCCUAUGGGUUGUAAACUUCUUUUAUAUGGGAAUAAAACAGGGUAUGCAUACCCUCUUGUAUGUACCAUAUGAAUAAGGAUCGGCUAACUCCGUGCCAGCAGCCGCGGUAAUACGGAGGAUCCGAGCGUUAUCCGGAUUUAUUGGGUUUAAAGGGUGCGUAGGUGGAUUGUUAAGUCAGGUGUGAAAGUUUGCGGCGUAACCGUAGAAUUGCAGUUGAAACUGGCAGUCUUGAGUACACUAGAGGUAGGCGGAAUGCGUGGUGUAGCGGUGAAAUGCUUAGAUAUCACGAAGAACUCCGAUUGCGAAGGCAGCUCACUGGACUGCAACUGACACUGAUGCACGAAAGUGUGGGUAUCGAACAGGAUUAGAUACCCUUGUAGUC